rnacentral:rRNA from 1 species
UCUGUGACGAAUAUGACGGUAGCAGAGGAAUAAGGACCUGCUAACUACGUGCCAGCAGCCGCGGUCAUACGUAGGGUCCAAGCGUUAUCCGGAAUUACUGGGCGUAAAGAGUUGCGUAGGUGGCAUUGUAAGUUGGUAGUGAAAGCGUUCGGCUCAACCGGAUACACAUUAUCAAAACUGCAAAGCUAGAGGACGAGAGAGGUUAUUGGAAUUCCUAGUGUAGGAGUGAAAUCCGUAGAUAUUAG